CUAUCUCAAAACUAUAAAUACCCCCUUCCAUUUCAUUGUAUAACACACCAAAAAAUAUAUCAAAACUCAAGAAGAAAGAGUUUGAGAGGGAGAGAGAUAUAGUUCCUUUAGGAAUGUUUCCUAACAGGGGAGUGACAAAAUAGUGAGUAGAAAUACUAGUCGGGUAUUUUUCGGGAAACACUUUUGUGUGCGCCACUAUUUUGGGUAGAGCUCAGGAAUUGUUGUACCUCCAAAUUAUUGGGGAAGUCUCUCUUUGUAUGCCUGCUAAAUGUUUUAGUGGAAGUUGGUGUCGGAUUUGUGGACGUAGCCUAAACGUUUUAGAUUGGGCUAGAUACCCUGAUUCAAGACGAUCCACUACAGACUGGUGCAUGAUGCUUCGCUCGUGCAUGAUCUCAUGGAAGUGUAAAAAACAAUCUCUAACAUCGAAGUGAUCCACAGAGGCAGAAUAUAGAAGUAUGUCUGUUGCAUGCUUUGAAAUCAUUUGGCUAAGGAGGCUAUUAUCAAAACUUGACAUCAAGAUCGAAGGAUUAACCAUAUUGUAUGGAUACAAUACCAGUGCAAUUCGAAUAGCAACCAACUCCGUUCAUCAUGAAAAUACCUGGCACAUAGACGUAGAUUGUCACUACAUGCAUCAGAGAACUGAUUGAAGAUCGGAGCACUAAUCUGAGGUAUAUAUCAUCUAAAGAUCAACUAGCAGAUUUGUUCACAAAGGCUAUGUCUAGAAGUCGACACAAUUAUCUUCUGUCCAAACUCUUGCUUUGUGAUACAUAGCAUUAGUUUGAGGGAAGGUUUUGACUAAAUCUUAUUUUACAACCCAAUCUCAGGGAUGUCCUAUUAUGACUAACAUUAAAAUUGUAUAGCAAAUUAGCUGCCCUAUUUCAGGGUUAUUUGUCUAGCAAUUAGUAGGCUAGUAAUCAGAAGAUAAUUGAGACUCUUUUGCUUGUACAAAUACCUUGUAAAUCCCUCAGUUCUGGAUAAUUGAAAGAUAUUAGAAUUCUUUCAUUUUCUGGA